CCUACGGGUGGCUGCAGUGGGGAAUAUUGGGCAAUGGGCGAAAGCCUGACCCAGCAACGCCGCGUGAAGGAAGAAGGCUUUCGGGUUGUAAACUUCUUUUCUGAGGGACGAAGAAAGUGACGGUACCUCAGGAAUAAGCCACGGCUAACUACGGGCCAGCAGCCGCGGUAAUACGUAGGUGGCAAGCGUUAGCCGGAUUUAUUGGGGGGAAAGGGCGUGGAGGCGGGAAAGCAAGUCCGAGGUGAAAACGCAGGGCUCAACCCUGAGCCUGCAUUUGAAACUGUUUUUCUUGAGUGCUGGAGAGGCAAUCGGAAUUCCGUGUGUAGCGGUGAAAUGCGUAGAUAUACGGAGGAACACCAGUGGCGAAGGCGGAUUGCUGGACAGUAACUGACGCUGAGGCGCGAAAGCGUGGGGAGCAAACAGGAUUAGAUACCCGAGUAGUC
rnacentral:rRNA from 1 species